GCCCCGGUAGCCCAACGGCAGAGGCAGCGGCUUCAAACUCCGUACGGUGUGGGUUCGAAUCCCACCCGGGGCACCA
rnacentral:tRNA from 3 species